rnacentral:rRNA from 1 species
AUAUUGGACAAUGGGCGAAAGCCUGAUCCAGCCAUGCCGCGUGAGUGAUGAAGGCCCUAGGGUUGUAAAGCUCUUUCAGCAGGGAUGAUAAUGACAGUACCUGCAGAAGAAGCCCCGGCUAACUUCGUGCCAGCAGCCGCGGUAAUACGAAGGGGGCUAGCGUUGUUCGGAAUUACUGGGCGUAAAGCGCACGUAGGCGGAUUGUUAAGUGAGGGGUGAAAUCCCGGGGCUCAACCCCGGAACUGCCUUUCAUACUGGCAAUCUCGAGUCCGGAAGAGGUGAGUGGAAUUCCGAGUGUAGAGGUGAAAUUCGUAGAUAUUCGGAGGAACACCAGUGGCGAAGGCGGCUCACUGGUCCGGUACUGACGCUGAGGUGCGAAAGCGUGGGGAGCAAACAGG